rnacentral:rRNA from 1 species
GAUGAACGCUGGCGGCGUGCUUAACACAUGCAAGUCGAACGGGAUCCCAGGAGCUUGCUCCUGGGUGAGAGUGGCGAACGGGUGAGUAAUGCGUGACCGACCUGCCCCAUACACCGGAAUAGCUCCUGGAAACGGGUGGUAAUGCCGGAUGCUCCAGUUGGAUGCAUGUCCUUCUGGGAAAGAUUCAUCGGUAUGGGAUGGGGUCGCGUCCUAUCAGCUUGAUGGCGGGGUAACGGCCCACCAUGGCUUCGACGGGUAGCCGGCCUGAGAGGGCGACCGGCCACAUUGGGACUGAGAUACGGCCCAGACUCCUACGGGAGGCAGCAGUGGGGAAUAUUGCACAAUGGGCGCAAGCCUGAUGCAGCGACGCCGCGUGCGGGAUGACGGCCUUCGGGUUGUAAACCGCUUUUGACUGGGAGCAAGCCCUUCGGGGUGAGUGUACCUUUCGAAUAAGCACCGGC